AUUGAACGCUGGCGGCAGGCCUAACACAUGCAAGUCGGACGGUAGCACAGAGGAGCUUGCUCCUCGGGUGACGAGUGGCGGACGGGUGAGUAAUGUCUGGGGAUCUGCCCGAUAGAGGGGGAUAACCACUGGAAACGGUGGCUAAUACCGCAUAACGUCGCAAGACCAAAGAGGGGGACCUUCGGGCCUCUCACUAUCGGAUGAACCCAGAUGGGAUUAGCUAGUAGGCGGGGUAAUGGCCCACCUAGGCGACGAUCCCUAGCGGGUCUGGGAGGAUGACCAGCCACACUGGAACUGAGACACGGUCCAGACUCCUACGGGAGGCAGCAGUGGGGAAUAUUGCACAAUGGGCGCAAGCCUGAUGCAGCCAUGCCGCGUGUAUGAAGAAGGCCUUCGGGUUGUAAAGUACUUUCAGCGGGGAGGAAGGCGGUGUGGUUAAUAACCUUGUCGAUUGACGUUACCCGCAGAAGAAGCACCGGCUAACUCCGUGCCAGCCGCCGCCGUAA
rnacentral:rRNA from 1 species